rnacentral:lncRNA from 1 species
UUUUUUUUUUUUUUUUCUGUAAGCAGACUGCAAUCCUCCACAUGGCAUGAGAGAAAACCAUCCCAGAAAUCCCUGAGAUGGGGUGCCUGAUGCUGCAUCCUGGAAGAUUUUGUGUGUGAUUGUACAUUGGGAGCAUUCUGUUGGAUUUGAGAACCGAAUCACAGGAAGAAAAAGCCAUUUAUGCUUGGCCCUGGCAUUAUAUUCUUAACUUUAGGGAUUAUUGGGGAAGUAAUAUUCCAUGAUGCUGUCCACUCCUAAAUGACUUAUCUGACAUGAACUGAUUUCUCUGCCCAUGGAGAAAUAAAUGCUUUUCCCUUAAGGAAGGAGGUGAGAGAAUUUUGCUGUUGCUUCUGCUCUGUGUAAGAUGGCAAUCGAUGCCUCAAUCCUCACACAAUAAUUCCAAAAGACAAACUUGGUCAUACCUUACUGAUAAGAAGAAAGGUACUUUAGUGAAUACACUGGGGUGUGAAAAAACAACCUGACACAGAAAAUAAAUAGGAAAAGCACCCUGAUGGUUUAAUUUGGGGAGCCAACGCAGCUGUCUGGACUCUGGGUUGAAGCUGGAGGUUGGUGCAGGGCCCAAAAACCUCGGUGAGUUCAGCACCCAGUGCUGGACACGAUGGAAUUCCUGCACACCCAAGGGCUUAAAGCUGGAAUUUCCCCAUGUGCCAGCUACAGAAACAGAUCUGACACCAACACCUCAAAUUUUCUUGUCUAAGCUAAAAUUUAGGUCCCUGAACUAGUCUGAUCCAUUCAAUGCAUAAUUUUACAAAGCACAGCAAAUAAUAUUUUUAACUUUAUACUCAUGUAGCAGCUCUUGCUCGGUGGGCUCAGGAUAUCUCACAGGCUGUUUUAUUGACAAUGCUUCCCUCAGGUAUUUGUUACCAACAUAACAAGCCUUUCUCUGAACUGCAGCGUCUUCAUUUCUGACAUCCAGCGCUGCCCACUACAAUUGUGCUUCUCCAAAAGAAAGCCUGGCUGCUGGAAAUGUGUCCAUUGCUCCUCGAGGACAUUGCCAGUGCAAUUUGCAAUUUUCAGGUCAGACAAAAGCACAGCCCAGAGACCACAAGUGAGCUGAUUACAGAGUGUGCUAAACCCACAACAGCCUGAGGUUCAGCUCCCUGCUGAAACCACAGGAUAAAAGUGCUGGGAUGACCCUCCCAAAUGUCACUAUUGGCCAUUUUACCUUUUCUUGGCAUUCUGUGCCCCACUAUAAUUUAUUUCACAGCUUCCCACACUGAUGAGAAAAAAAUUAUGAAUGUGCAAAAUCCCAGAGUUUUCCAGAAAAUGGAAGUGUUGUUUCCUGGCCAGUCCUGCUGUGGUUUAACAUGCUCUGUGCAGUCCAGCCUUUUCCUUCAGCACAGCAAAAACAGCAAUUCAAGGCUCAACAGCACCUGACACUCAUUUGAAACUCAUUUAACCAGACAAGGUUGGGCAUCUAGAAUUGGAAUUUUAAAUGUACUAAGAAGAACUUCACAAUGAAGUUUAUCAGCUUUAAUUCCUGUCAGGAAGUUCUCAUUUGAACCAACCACUUGAAUAUGAUGAAGGCUAAGUCUCUAACGCCCUUCAGACCUGUUUGCUCUAAGAAGGGCAAAAAGAUGGCCAAGAUAAAAACAAUAAUAAAAAAAUUUCCAAGAUUGAAAAAGAAGCCUAAAAAUAUAAUAAAAAAAAAUUUGAAAAAAACCACGUAUGAUGAAAUAUCAUUCUACUUUUUUAGGUCAGAAUUUCAUGCUUGCAGUAUCAUGAAAUGAAUGUGUUGGAAGGAAUUUAUCACCCUCAGAUCUUGGGGCUAUUGGUAGUGUGUUCAAUACAUUGAUCAGUUUUAUCCAGCUCAUAUCAGCAGUUAGGCAAUUACAACCCUUAAAACUUCAGAAAAUGCUCUGUUCGAUUAUUCUCCUGCCCCCCAGCAUCUCCCUUUGUGUUAGAAGAUCAAAUUUUCAGCAACGCACACAGGCAGAAAAACUCCAAGCGUGGCAAAAGAGAGCUGGGAACACUCUCCCUGUUAGUGGGUGUGCAAAAGUGCAGAAUUAAUGCCUGAAAGCAAUGGGCACUGUGGUGGUCACUUCACUGCUCCUUUUCUGCCUUUGUGCCUCUUGCAGCCUGGAAGCUGCACAAACAACUCAGGUGUGCAAACGAGAUUGUAGGCAGGAAGAUUUGGGGGUUUUUCUCAGUUACUUUAGACUCUAAUUUUUUUAUGAGUCUCUUGUGUCUAGUUUUGUUUAUAAUGCCUUGUGGCAGAUCCUAUUUGUGACUUAUCAUUUUAAAGCAGUUUUUGUAUUUCAUCUCUGCAGAAUUCCCUCUGGAGGAUGCUACUAAGGAGGCUAAUCAUGCCAACAAAGCCUUGUAGGAGAGGAACUCGGGAAAAGAAGCAGAUUAUAUUAUUGCACAUCUGCAGGAAUGUCAAAUUCACCUGGGCUGCCACAAUACAUGUCCCUCUUUUUAUCUUUUUUUCUUUUUCCUUUUCAUAAUUGUGGAAAUGAUUCACAGUCACUCAUGCUGCACCUCACUACUUCUCCUGACAUGUAGGAUGAGAGAAUCAGUGAGAAGACUUGGAACAGGGAACUAAAACUGUGGUUUAUGCACUUUUUGUCACAGAAUCCUCCUCAGAAUCUGUAGAACUGUCCAGCAGGCUGACAGUGCCCAUCAUGAGGCAUCACACCCCAAAUCUGUCAACUGAUCAAAAAACUGUCUGAACACUGCAGAACACCUACCAGGAUUCUAAUAUUCUUGUAUUAAAGGAUAUGAGAGAUUUUCUUGUAAUAUGACAAAAAAAAUUACAAUUUACUGUAUGCAAGCACUGACCUGGAGCCGGACUACAAACCCUGCUUUGUCAUUUGGAUCCAAUUUGCCAACAGUCACAGGACAAAAAUUAAACCUGCCUCUGGUGUGCUUGAUCACUGAAAUGAAAUUGUAGUUGCAGUCCCACAACAACCUCCAAAACAGCUGCCAAGGAAACCCCGGGCUCUGGAAGGGAGUGCCCACCCACAGCAGCAGAUCCAGGGGCUGCUCCUCAUCCUCAUCCCACCCAAAUCCCCAUCCCUGCCUGUCAGAAUCUGUGGUAUUGAUGAUUCUGAGAUUGUAGAAAGUCUCUGUCUGUCAGCCCCGCUGCCAAAGCAGAAGCCAUAAUUGGUCUGUGCUGGUUUCAAGGUUGUUUAUUCUGUU